rnacentral:tRNA from 2 species
GGGAGAGUGGUCGAGUGGUUAAAAGCGACAGACUGUAAAUCUGUUGAAGUUUUUCUGCAUAGGUUCGAAUCAUGCCUCUCCCA